rnacentral:rRNA from 1 species
CAGGCCUAACACAUGCAAGUCGAGCGGGCCCUUCGGGGUCAGCGGCGGACGGGUGAGUAACGCGUGGGAACGUGCCCUCUGGUUCGGAAUAACUCAGGGAAACUUGAGCUAAUACCGGAUACGCCCUGUGGCUUUGGUGCUGCUGGGGAAAGGCUUGCUGCCGGAGGAUCGGCCCGCGUCUGAUUAGCUAGUUGGCGGGGUAACGGCCCACCAAGGCGACGAUCAGUAGCUGGUCUGAGAGGAUGAUCAGCCACACUGGGACUGAGACACGGCCCAGACUCCUACGGGAGGCAGCAGUGGGGAAUAUUGGACAAUGGGCGCAAGCCUGAUCCAGCCAUGCCGCGUGAGUGAUGAAGGCCUUAGGGUUGUAAAGCUCUUUUAUCCGGGACGAUAAUGACGGUACCGGAGGAAUAAGCCCCGGCUAACUUCGUGCCAGCAGCCGCGGUAAU